GGGAGUACGGCCGCAAGGUUAAAACUCAAAUGAAUUGACGGGGGCCCGCACAAGCGGUGGAGCAUGUGGUUUAAUUCGAUGCAACGCGAAGAACCUUACCUGGUCUUGACAUCCACAGAACUUUCCAGAGAUGGAUUGGUGCCUUCGGGAACUGUGAGACAGGUGCUGCAUGGCUGUCGUCAGCUCGUGUUGUGAAAUGUUGGGUUAAGUCCCGCAACGAGCGCAACCCUUAUCCUUUGUUGCCAGCGGUCCGGCCGGGAACUCAAAGGAGACUGCCAGUGAUAAACUGGAGGAAGGUGGGGAUGACGUCAAGUCAUCAUGGCCCUUACGACCAGGGCUACACACGUGCUACAAUGGCGCAUACAAAGAGAAGCGACCUCGCGAGAGCAAGCGGACCUCAUAAAGUGCGUCGUAGUCCGGAUUGGAGUCUGCAACUCGACUCCAUGAAGUCGGAAUCGCUAGUAAUCGUGGAUCAGAAUGCCACGGUGAAUACGUUCCCGGGCCUUGUACACACCGCCCGUCACACCAUGGGAGUGGGUUGCAAAAGAAGUAGGUAGCUUAACCUUCGGGAGGGCGCUUACCACUUUGUGAUUCAUGACUGGGGUGAAGUCGUAACAAGGUAACCGUAGGGGAACCUGCGGUUGGAUCAC
rnacentral:rRNA from 1 species